rnacentral:rRNA from 1 species
CGCGUAGGCGGGCCGUCAAGUCAGGGGUGAAAGCCCCCAGCUCAACUGGGGAAGUGCCUUUGAUACUGACGGCCUCGAGGGAGGUAGGGGCGUGCGGAACUUCCGGUGGAGCGGUGAAAUGCGUAGAUAUCGGAAGGAACACCGGUGGCGAAAGCGGCGCGCUGGACCUCUUCUGACGCUGAGGCGCGAAAGCCAGGGGAGCGAACG